UCAUUGGAUGUAGGGCCAGCCUCAUCCAGGAGGACCUCAUCUCAGACCCUUCACUUCCAUCCGGAUAAUCAAGAAUGAUCUCUUCAUCUCAAGAUCCUUCAUUAGUUACAUCUGUCAAGAGCCUUUUGCUGACAAAGUCAUAUCCACAGGUAACAGGGUUUAGGACGUGGUCAUAUCUUUUUGGUAGAAAAUAUUCAAUCCACUGCAUGGUACAUGAACUGGAUACUUGGAAACUCAGGAAACAUCCAUUCCUUUUCUGGUGAACUGGAGAACCACGGAGGUCACGGCUUCUUCUAUAUGUACCCAAGGCCGCUUUCCUGGGCGAGUGACCCAUGUCACUACACGGGACCCUGGGCUCAUAAGGACGCCUAUUGGCUUAAUGCCCUAUGGCCGCCAUCUUGAAAUUCUUGAAGCGUGAGCAAGGACCCGUAUUUUCAUUUUGCCCUGGAACUGCAAAUGCGAUAGCCCUCUCUGCUCACGUUCCUUCCAACCUCAAGAAAGAGGAGCAAGUCUGCACCCAAUAAGGACACCCCCAUCCCCAGCACACCCUCCAUCCAGCCACUGAUGUGCUCAAACCAACCUUUCAUGGGUGGUGAAGACCUCUCCCCAAGAUCCAGUAAGGCUAGUGGGUUUUGGCUGCAUACUGGGGAAGCCUCUGAAAACCACUAAUGUUCAGCUCCAUCAUCAACAGAAUCCCCAAGUUCGUUCCCCUGGGCACCGGCAUUUAUUAGACCUCCUCAAGCCAUCCUCUUGUUCAGGCAAGGUUGAGACCCUCUGGGCCAGGCAAAUGCAGAUUGAAGCUUCCAGCCCUGGGCGCCAGCCCCUCCCAGAACUGCUCAGAUGUUCUGCUAAGCCCUACAGCCCCGACUGAUGUGUUUCAGAGCUAGAAUUACUUUGUAUGUUCAAACCAAGAUGGAGACAUGCCUUGUCUAAUAUUUCCGGACAGCCAGGAUGAUAUACUGCAAAGCAGAAUCUUGACUUCCAGGAAGAUCCCAACCUUGGAGCAUUUGCACAUCACUAGAGAGCCCUUUAUGGCUUGAGGUCAUAGUACACAAGUGCUAGCUACUCUUAGCGGCAUCACAAAGUUGGUUCCCAAGUACAGACUCAGGAUGAGGAUGCAGGAAGAGACCUGGCCAGUCCGACAUCCUCUGUCACUUUGAGAACAAGCUUGCUGGCCCCUGAAAGAUGCUGCAGUCCCUGGGCGAAGCUAGGCUCUGAGAGCAACUUGGACUGUGUAGGACCCUGGCCUCUCAGGGCUCCUCCUCUUUGCAUGACCGGCCUUAUGUCGCUCGUCCACCAGGGGAGAGAGAGGACACAGUUCUGGAGAAGUUACCAUGUUCCCUCGACACCUGAUUGUGGAACAUUCCUCAGAGCUCAGAGACACUUCCCAGCAGCUGGAGAAGUCUCGUGGACCACUGGAAACUCAGGAGAGUCGCUCGACUUUCUGGAAGACCCUAUUGAAUACGCAGAAAAUGGAAGUGGGAUGGUCCAAAUCCACAGAGACGAACUCCCGUGCCAUCUGUGGAAUCGUUGACUCAGUCCCUGAGACUGCAAACUCCGGGAAAGAAGGGCUCAAGUGUCUCCGGCUCACCUUCCAAAGGGGAGCAGUAUCUCUGCCUGCUGCCCCAUCCGGCUCGAUCCGCGAGCAGCAGAGGGAGGAGGGUUGCCGUGUCAGCCGUCAGGUGCGACCCCACGCCUCUGCAGGGUUCCCCUCUCGUUGCCAAGAUCCUGGCAUGUGGAACACGGUGCAGGGAUUCGGAU